CUUCAGUAACACAUCUGAGUACUUCUUCCACCUCUGAGGAAGAGAAAAGUCUUUUCUGACUUCAUUAAUGAAUAAUUUAGAGUUUAACUGCUUUAUUAGAUUACGUUACAGAGAAAAACUUAAUAUUUCCAUGAAAGUGAAAUGUUUGAUCAGUUUUACAGUAAAUCAACUGUAUAAUGAAGUAAUCUACAGUAAACUACAGUAAUCUACUCAGGACCGGACUGUGCUUGCUGCAGCUUGACGACUCUGACGACGGAGAGUAUCGCUGCAACCAGCAGCUGGUGGCCGAGCUGCAGGUGCUCACAGGUAGACUGAGAGCAGUGCAUUGUGGGACAUAUGUAGAAAGGUGUCUUUAAAGAGUCUCACCUCCAGGUGGUCCUGGAGACCCUCUUUGUUUCUGGCCCAUAGGUGAGGACUUCAGGGUGCCUGCAGGCCGGACACUGCUGCUCCCCUGCAGCAGCUCCUCUAAAGCCAGACAGAGGUGGUUCUACAGGAGGGACGGAGGGAGGCGGGAGCUGAUCUUCACCUGGUUCAGGAACGGCACGAUGAAACCGGAGAGGAGUCGGCUCAGCUACGAGAACGAGGCGCUGCAGAUCCGUGACCUGCAGCCAGAGGACGCUGGACAGUAUCAGUGCAGCGGGAGGAUGAGCUCAGUCAGCGUCCUGAAAGGUGGAUCGGCUGAUUGAGUGUUUGAUUCCCAACAUGUUGUCAGAGACGUCACAAAUCUAAAAAUAUCUUUUAUUCUGUUCAUCAGUGCAGCCGGAGCCGACCAGCAUCCAUCAGACCAGCAGGACAACAACCACACCUGCUGUUAGGACAACAGCUCGACAGGAACAGGAGCGACGCGCGACACAAAGAGAAAAUGACGUCUGAUCCUACGUCACACAGAAACAAGAGGUGUCUGGUGGACGGAGCUGCUGGACGUCCUGCACACCUCAACAGUCUCUUCUGGUGGUUUUGGCUCUGCAUUUUAAAACCUCUGCCAAGGAGGACUGUGCUUCCAGUGGCCACAGCUUUAGCUUCAGUCUUAUAGAAUAACAAUUGGUGUAUAUAGCCAAGAAACUAUAUAUUUAAAGGUUCCUCUCAUAAAAGAUGUUGGUUUUAAAAAUGUUUUUGAGGCUUUUACAAACAUACGAGUUACUGUUCACUUCAACAAAAUCAAAUGUUACAUCUAAAAAUAACAAAACAUUUUUUUUUCUGUAGCAUGAAGAGAACUCAUCUUAAAUUAACAAACCCGACAAUGAAAUGAACCUUUUAACCGUUUCUACCUCGAGCUGUUUGUUACUGAAGUUAUAAGAUUAUGAGUUCCAUUAAGAACCAUUUUGGGAGAAAACUGUUGACUGUGAUGGAAAAUGUGUUUUAUGUAUUUCAAACUGCUCAAUCUUCGUCCUACACUGUGUUGCUUGGUCAAAGGUGCAUUUUGUAGUUUUUGUGAAUAAAUCAGAAUCGAGAGAGAGAGAGAGAGAGAGAGAGA
rnacentral:lncRNA from 1 species